rnacentral:rRNA from 1 species
AACGUAGGAGACAAACGUUAUCCGGAGUUACUGAGCGUAAAGGGCGUGUAGGUGGUAGUGUAAGUCUGGCGUGAAAUUUUUCGGCUUAACCGGGAAAGGUCGUCGGAUACUGCACAACUAGAGGACGGUAGAGGCGUGUGGAAUUCCGGGUGUAGUGGUGAAAUGCGUAGAGAUCCGGAGGAGCACCAGUGGCGAAGGCGACACGCUGGGCCGUACCUGACACUGAUGUGCGACAGCAUGGGGAGCAAACAGG